rnacentral:pre_miRNA from 1 species
AUAGUACUCCCUCCAUCCGGAAAUACUUGUCCUAGAAAUGAAUAAAAUGAAUGUAUCUAUAACUAAAAUAAGUGUAGAUACAUCCAUUUCUAGGACAAGUAUUUCCGGACAGAGGGAGUGCAUA